UGGCCAAUGGCAGGACAGGGAGUAGAUUUGAAGUGCUGCAGGGUUGGGUGGAGGCACAGGCACAGAGCUCAGGCAGUGUUUGGUGAAGGCAGGUAUAGAGAAGGGGAGGAAUAGAGCUGGGGCAAGAUGCUCUCUGAAAUUAACGAGAAAAUGUUGGUCAUCAUGCUGGGUUCUCUAAUCUAAUGUUUCUGUUAUCAGGAAUAGAAGCUGAAAGGGAGAAACACACACCAGUAAAACAGGACACAGCCUGGGAGGCUGCAGUGGAAGCCAUGGCCACUGACAGGAAUAGAGAUCAUGUAUCCAGAGGCAUCACACAGGGGUGAGAAUGAAAGCUCCAUACCCAUAUCCUCCACAAGAUUUACAGAGAACGUGGGAGCUAGGAAAGAUUAUAGCUACUGUUGGAGAACAUUUGUCAACGAUGAGGACAAGUAUGAAGAUUAUUGGCCCAGGCACUUUGCUCCAUGGAUAAUGCUAUAUUCUCUCGAACUUCAGUCCAUCCUUCAGAACAUUCCCUCUUGCUUAGAGAUUUCAUCAGAUGAGAACUAUACUCCAGUUUUCAGCCUAUGUGUAGAAGAUGAGGAACA